CUCCUUCUGAGCGCCUGCUUCCCUCUCCCCUCCAGGUGGUGGGCUGGCGGGCACCCCCGCCGCCCUGGACAGCAGUGCUCAGCAGAGGUUCUGGGACUGAGGUGACGGAGGUGCUAGUGUUGAGUUCAACGCCUUGGAGUGCAGAGGUCUUCCCGUGGACCCUCCAGGACCCCCUCCAGUGGAGGAAGCCGCCCCAGGCUGCCGGGAUGUCCAGCCUCCGGGGAAAGAGUGGCCUUCAGGUCAUUUCCAGCUUCACCACCUUGUGACUGGCCAAGGAGCCACCCCAGGCCCUUCCUCCCCUCCCAGCUGCAAAGCCACCCCCACGCCAGGCUUACACACACACUUCACACACACCUGCCACCCCCUACCCCGGCCCCCAGGACCUGUCUCCAUCCUGGCUGCAAAGCCCCCGCAUCCCAACUUGACUUGAGUCUCACCUGAAUCAGAAUUGUGGCAGCAGCUUCUGACUUCACCUGGGAUUCCAACCAGGCCAGGGGGCCACGGAGGCAGCAGAGGAAGCUAGGGUGCUGAGCUGGAGGAGGGGUGACCGACAGGCGGCCCCACAGGUUCACACUGCGGAGCCCAGGUGAGUCCAGAAUCUUAGACCUGAAAGAGCACGAAGAGCAGGGAGUCACCCGAGGCCCGUUCCUGGCGAACCUUGGUCCUGACUUUCCUUGGUCCUGACACUGGGCUGCGCCCCGCCAGUCCCCCACAGCCCUGAGUGCCACCCACAUUGUUCUUAACUACGCAAGCCAAGUCAUGAAGACCAGUUCUCAGGAUUGUAUCCCCAUUGUUGUAUUAGCCAAAAGACUAAGGUGUUCAAUCUAUUUUUCAAACCCUGUGCUAA